UACGUAGGGUGCAAGCGUUUGUCCGGAAUUAUUGGGCGUAAAGGGCUCGUAGGCGGUUUGUCACGUCGGGAGUGAAAACUCGGGGCUUAACCCCGAGCCUGCUUCCGAUACGGGCAGACUAGAGGUAUGCAGGGGAGAACGAAUUCCUGGUGUAGCGGUGAAAUGCGCAGAUAUCAGGAGGAACACCGGUGGCGAAAGCGACUUCCUGGACCAAUACUGACGCUCAUGUGCGAAAGCGUGGGGAGCAAACAGG
rnacentral:rRNA from 1 species